rnacentral:rRNA from 1 species
CGUGCAGCCGGGAAUGCAAGUCAGAUGUGAAAUCCAUGGGCUUAACCCAUGAACUGCAUUUGAAACUGUAUUUCUUGAGUACUGGAGAGGCAAUCGGAAUUCCUAGUGUAGCGGUGAAAUGCGUAGAUAUUAGGAGGAACACCAGUGGCGAAGGCGGAUUGCUGGACAGCAACUGACGGUGAGGCGCAAAGUGUGGGAGCAAACA